rnacentral:rRNA from 1 species
AGAGUUUGAUCAUGGCUCAGGACGAACGCUGGCGGCGUGCUUAACACAUGCAAGUCGAACGGAAAGGCCCUGCUUUUGUGGGGUGCUCGAGUGGCGAACGGGUGAGUAACACGUGAGUAACCUGCCCUUGACUUUGGGAUAACUUCAGGAAACUGGGGCUAAUACCGGAUAGGAGCUCCUGCUGCAUGGUGGGGGUUGGAAAGUUUCGGCGGUUGGGGAUGGACUCGCGGCUUAUCAGCUUGUUGGUGGGGUAGUGGCUUACCAAGGCUUUGACGGGUAGCCGGCCUGAGAGGGUGACCGGCCACAUUGGGACUGAGAUACGGCCCAGACUCCUACGGGAGGCAGCAGUGGGGAAUAUUGCACAAUGGGCGGAAGCCUGAUGCAGCAACGCCGCGUGCGGGAUGACGGCCUUCGGGUUGUAAACCGCUUUCGCCUGUGACGAAGCGUGAGUGACGGUAAUGGUAAAGAAGCACCGGCUAACUACGUGCCAGCAGCCGCGGUGAUACGUAGGGUGCGAGCGUUGUCCGGAUUUAUUGGGCGUAAAGGGCUCGUAGGUGGUUGAUCGCGUCGGAAGUGUAAUCUUGGGGCUUAACCCUGAGCGUGCUUUCGAUACGGGUUGACUUGAGGAAGGUAGGGGAGAAUGGAAUUCC